ensembl:snRNA U6 U6 spliceosomal RNA
GUGCUCACUUUGGCAGGACAUACCCUAAAAUUGGAAUAAUACAGAGAUUAGCAUACCCUGCACAAAGACAACAUGAAAAUUCAUGAAACAGUCCAUAUUUCU